rnacentral:rRNA from 1 species
UGCAAGUCGAGCGAAUCACUGGGACUUGCUCCUGGUGGUUAGCGGCGGACGGGUGAGUAACACGUGGGCAACCUGCCUGUAAGACUGGGAUAACACCGGGAAACCGGUGCUAAUACCGGAUAAUACUUCUCUACACAUGUAGAGAAGCUGAAAGUCGGUUUCGGCUGACACUUACAGAUGGGCCCGCGGCGCACUAUCUAGUUGGUGAGGUAACGGCUCACCAAGGCGACGAUGCGUAUCCGACCUGAGAGGGUGAUCGGCCACACUGGGACUGAGACACGGCCCAGACUCCUACGGGAGGCAGCAGUAGGGAAUCUUCCACAAUGGACGAAAGUCUGAUGGAGCAACGCCGCGUGAGCGAAGAAGGCCUUCGGGUCGUAAAGCUCUGUUGUUAGGGAAGAACAAGUACCGGAGUAACUGCCGGUACCUUGACGGUACCUAACCAGAAAGCCACGGCUAACUACGUGCCAGCAGCCGCGGUAAUACGUAGGUGGCAAGCGUUGUCCGGAAUUAUUGGGCGUAAAGCGCGCGCAGGCGGUCCUUUAAGUCUGAUGUGAAAGCCCACGGCUCAACCGUGGAGGGUCAUUGGAAACUGGGGGACUUGAGUGCAGAAGAGGAAAGCGGAAUUCCACGUGUAGCGGUGAAAUGCGUAGAGAUGUGGAGGACACCAGUGGCGAAGGCGGCUUUCUGGUCUGUAACUGACGCUGAUGCGCGAAAGCGUGGGGAGCAAACAGGAUGAGAUACCCUGCUAGUCCACGCCGUCAACGAUGAGUGCUAGUGUUAGAGGAUGUCCGCCCCUUUAGUGCUGCAGCUAACGCAUCAGUCACUCCGCCUGCGG